rnacentral:lncRNA from 1 species
UAAGAAACUUUAUUUUGAAUUUUAUCUUUUUUGAUUAUAGCAUUUAAAAAAAUUAUAGGACCUAAAUGUUUAGUGUGAAGCCUUGAGAGGAGAUUAGAGCCUAAAGAUGAAAAUCAUAACUAGUAGGAGGCUUAUUGGGAGGGAUAAAAACAAGACAUGGGUAGAUGAAGGCAAGGAAUGGAAAUCUUCAUUCCUAUUAGUCGAAGGCCAUGUCCAAUGGGCUUCAAGAGGGCUGCCUAAGGCCUUAUUAGGGAUUAGGGUUUUUCUUUCGAGGUUAUUCGAGCUUUGGAGGCUAAGAUCAACAAUUUUAGGUUUUUGAGUACGGAUUGGAUACAAAUUUUGU